UGUUUCAUGGCUCACUGGUAGGUGUCUC
rnacentral:piRNA from 1 species